GACGAACGCUGGCGGCGUGCUUAACACAUGCAAGUCGAACGGAAAGGCCCUGCUUUUGUGGGGUGCUCGAGUGGCGAACGGGUGAGUAACACGUGAGUAACCUGCCCUUGACUUUGGGAUAACUUCAGGAAACUGGGGCUAAUACCGGAUAGGAGCUCCUGCUGCAUGGUGGGCGUUGGAAAGUUUCGGCGGUUGGGGAUGGACUCGCGGCUUAUCAGCUUGUUGGUGGGGUAGUGGCUUACCAAGGCUUGGACGGGUAGCCGGCCUGAGAGGGUGACCGGCCACAUUGGGACUGAGAUACGGCCAGACUCCUACGGGAGGCAGCAGUGGGGAAUAUUGCACAAUGGGCGGAAGCCUGAUGCAGCAACGCCGCGUGCGGGAUGACGGCCUUCGGGUUGUAAACCGCUUUCGCCUGUGACGAAGCGUGAGUGACGGUAAUGGGUAAAGAAGCACCGGCUAACUACGUG
rnacentral:rRNA from 1 species